GCCUUCCUUUCCAUCCAGUGGAACAUGUGGUGCCUCUGUCCAAUCUUCCGCCCCAUCAUCUCCUCUGCCUCCCCUUCUCCACAAAUCCACCUGCCUCCCUUUCUUCUCUUCUUGCAUCCUUCCACAUGCUCAUCUGUGCUUCCGUCCGUCUGCACCUCGUGGGGUCGACGCCUCCCUGAUCGAGGUCCAUGCUUAAAGGUAUAGCCACCGCGCACUCCCUCAUGUCGAUCUUGACAGCUGAGCCAACCUCUCUUCCCGUCCUUCUUCAAUGCCAUGACACUCUGUUGUCCGUCCGCCCGACGUCGUCGAGGCAUCCUAACAGGCAUCGGUCUCAGUUGUGGAGUGAUGCUGGCCGUGGAGGCAUCCCAAAUCAGCAGCAACUGAUUAUUAGUCAAAAGAGAGGUGGUUAAAAUUGCUCCAACAUUCUUCUUCACGAUGACUGAUGGUAUCAUGUGGCUGGAAGAUAAAUCAACUUCGCCAGAUUCCGGGACAUGGUGAUGAUUAGGUCUCCCUUCAUCUCCAUCUUAUGCAUCACGUAGCCGUCUCUCUGGCACAACCAUUGCCGCUGGAUCAAAUGGAGCUGAAAUUCUGCACAGUAUAUAGGAUGACUAUGGUUUGAUGUGCUAAUGUGUUGAAAUGGUCCAGCGAGUAAGAAGAGCAUUCUGAAUGUAGCUUGUGAGAUUUGGACCGUUUGAUUUUUUUAUGGAAAAUAUGUCUUCUAGUGCAUGCACGCA